ensembl:lncRNA
UGGCACCUCCAUCCUUCAAGUUGCUGAAGCCCCAGAUCUCAAUGUUAACCUUGAUUUCUUUAUUUUAUUUCAUAGGCAAUCUGAACGCAAAUCCUAUUUAGACCCAGGUGAAGGUUCCUGGUGACCCAGGCUCUCACCAGCCGAUUGUCCCUUACCAUCCUCCUGAGGGUGUCUGGAGCUUCAGUGCUGUGUGCUCUUGGCCUCCACCCUUGGGGUGCCACCGACUCCCACUGUCCAGGGCUUCCAGUGGACUCUCCGAGGCACUGAUGUAGAGACUUCCCCAUUCAGUGCACCAAGAGCAGCCUCACACGGUGUGGGCUGACAUGAAGAGCUGCCAGAUCCAACAGAAAUGUGAUUGAUAACAGUAAAGCCACACUCUUCACAUGCCUGAAAUACCCCUCAUUGUCUUCUUCAGGUGGCAAGGGCUCUGGAACAGCCACAUAAAGCCCUUGAAGAUAAGGAUGGUCAAAAAAAAUAAUAUCAUAUCUGCAGAAACUCAGAUCUUGGAAAGAUUUACUAGUUGGGAAUCCAAUGUCAAUGCCAAGAAGUAGCCACCAGUUGCGAUCAAAUGUGAGCCUAUGGAUCAAGAAAGAAGUCACACAUACAGUAAAAACAAAGAGGACCUAGUUCAAUUGAACAACCUUCCCCACACCCUGAAACAGCUCUACUUUCUAACACCAGAGAUGUCUUGACUGACUCCUACCCCUGCAGUCCCCUCUGUCUGGAAUAGAUGGAGGAAGUUUGCUCCAGCCUUAAAAGAGCAUGGGCUGGCAAGCGUUCUCAGAGAGCCUCUUGACUUCAACUCUGAAGGCCCUGAGGAAUAUGUGCAACUGGGUCGGGUUAAGUCUAAGCUGAAUCACAUGACCAGGGCUCUCACCGGCGCCGAAGUCAGUGGAAGGAUAUCAGUCCCCAGAGCUCUGUCACAGGCCAUGGGAUGCUCCAUGGAGGGGUGGUGAGCAUAUGAAUAACAAUCAGGAGAAACAUCGGUAAUGGACAGGAGGCAUAAACAAUGUCUGCCCUCCACUAAAAGCCAGGAAAGUUCUCAUUCUAAAAACGAUGUCUUGAAGAAAACAUAUGGACAAAUCUUUGUGACUUUGGAUUAGACAUUUUUUAAGUAGGCACAAACAACCCAAAGAUAGAUAAAUGGACUUCAUUAAAAUAAAAAUCUUACAUGCUUCAAAGGACACUGUCAAGGAAGUGAAAAGAUAAUCCACAUAAUGGGAGAACUAUUUCCAAAUUAUGUAUUUGACACGAGUCUAGUACCCAGAGUAUAUAAGAAAUUCACAUAACUGAGCAAUAAAUGACAACCAAAUUUAACAAUGGGAAAAAAGCUGUGAGUAGAGGUUUCUCUAAAGGAAACACACAAAUGGCCAAGAAGCACAUGCAAAGAUGUUCAAUGUUUUUCAUUAGGAAAAUGUAAUUUUAAACCAAAAUGAGAUACCACUUCACACCCACUAGUAUGACUUAGGAAAAAACAAAGAUAACACAUGUUUGGAAAGUUAUUGAGAAUAUGGAAUUCUCAUAUAUUACUAUUGGGAAUGUAAAAUGGCAUAGCUACUGAAGUUGGUAAACAGUGUGUGAGUUCCUCAAAAAGUUAAACAUAAAAAAAAGUUAAACAUAAAGUGACAUAUGAUGCAGCAAUUGCACUCCUAGGUUUACAACCAAGAAAAUGAAAAACAGGUGUUCACUCAAAAACAUGUAUAAAGGUGUUGAUAGCAGCAUUAUUCAUAAUAGUUAAGUGGAAACAUCUGAAACCACUAUCAGUUGAUGAAUAAACAAAAUGUGGUAUAACCAUGUAGUGGAAUAUUAUUUGGCCAUAAAAAAGUUGAAGUACUAAUGCAGGCUAAAAAGGAUGAAACUUGAGAACAAUAUGCUAAGAACCAGAUGAAAACACUACACUUUGUUAUUCCAUAUAGAGGAAGUGCCCAGAACAAGUACAUCUUUAUAUAGAGAAAGUAGAUUAGUGGUUGUCAGAGACCGCAAGAAGGGGGGAAUUGGAGAGUGACUGCCCAUACAGGCAUGCUUUUGGCAUUAUGAAAAUAUUGUGGAAUUAGGUAGUGGUGAUGGUUGUGAAACUUUGGAAUAUGGUAAAAGACACUGAAAUGUAUGCUUAAAAAUGGUGAAUUUUGUGAUAUGUGAAUUAUACUGUAGAAAUAAU